UACAGGGGGUGCAAGCGUUGUUCGGAAUUACUGGGCGUAAAGCGCGCGUAGGCGGCUUUGCAAGUCGGGUGUGAAAUCCCCAGGCUUAACCUGGGAACUGCAUUCGAGACUGCAUUGCUAGAGUAUGGGAGAGGGAAGUGGAAUUUCAGGUGUAGCGGUGAAAUGCGUAGAUAUCUGAAGGAACAUCAGUGGCGAAAGCGACUUCCUGGACCAAUACUGACGCUCAUGUGCGAAAGCGUGGGGAGCAAACAGG
rnacentral:rRNA from 1 species